AGUGAAUAGAUACCCGGGUAGUCCACGCCGUAAACGAUGAGUGCUAAGUGUUAGGGGGUUUCCGCCCCUUAGUGCUGCAGCUAAACGCAUUAAGCACUCCGCCUGGGGAGUACGGUCGCAAGACUGAAACUCAAAGGAAUUGACGGGGGCCCGCACAAGCGGUGGAGCAUGUGGUUUAAUUCGAAGCAACGCGAAGAACCUUACCAGGUCUUGACAUCCCGUUGACCACUGUAGAGAUAUGGUUUCCCCUCCGGGGACAACGGUGACAGGUGGUGCAUGGUUGUCGUCAGCUCGUGUCGUGAGAUGUUGGGUUAAGUCCCGCAACGAGCGCAACCCUUGAUCUUAGUUGCCAUCAUUUAGUUGGGCACUCUAAGGUGACUGCCGGUGACAAACCGGAGGAAGGUGGGGAUGACGUCAAAUCAUCAUGCCCCUUAUGACCUGGGCUACACACGUGCUACAAUGGACGAUACAAACGGUUGCCAACUCGCGAGAGGGAGCUAAUCCGAUAAAGUCGUUCUCAGUUCGGAUUGUAGG
rnacentral:rRNA from 1 species